UUUUCCUAAGUAGAUAUUAAAAAUAAAGCUUAAGGAAUGGCCAGUCUAGUAAAUAGACAAGUGUAAUUAUCUAUUUAUUUGAAGCUUUCAGAAAUUCUCUCUGCCCAAAUACUCUUCCUCUCUCAUUUGCCACAGCAUCUAAAACCACACUGUAACUGUAUUGAGGGAACGGGGACAGUGGGGGAGGACAUUAAUGUACCAUAGUAGCUUCAAGAACACACAAGUGAGUCUGGCAGAUGUUUAGUUGUACUGCAGCUAACAGCAUACAUCAAGUUUAUUAGAAGAGUGGAAAAGAGUCAGAUUUUUGUGGAGCAAAGGCAUUUCAAAAGAAAUUAAAAUCUCUGGCCAGCCAGUAACACCAACAGCAUUAGAGUAUAGAAGAUAUCAGGGAUGCGGAAUGAAGGAAAGCCAGGUGACUGGUGGUGCAGAAUAAGCAACGAAUCAAAUAACUAAACUGAACUGAUGUUACUGAGUAUCUUUACCACAUACUAUGCUUGGUGCUGGGGAUACAAAGAUAAAUAAGGAUAAAUUCAUCUAGAGGACCAGAUAAACUUUAGCUAACCACAAUAUUUCAUCAAUUCUCCAACUCAAGUUUUUUUUUUGAUGUUUAAACACCUUUGAAAUUGAUGGCAUCUUAUGAUGUUAGCAUUUAUUUUUUCUUAUACAGUGGUAUAUAAAAUAAUUGUGUGUUACAACAGAAGAAAUAUAGUGUAUGGAUUAUAAAAUAUUGCUAGCAAGUAGAAGGAACAAUAGCUAAAAUAUAUCGUGUAGAUUAUAGUGAACUAUUGAAAGUGUUUAAUCUGGGGAGUAACAUAUAAGAUCUCUGUAUUCAUUUUUCCCUGCCUGUGCUUGUCUUCUUCCUUUCAUUCAAUAAGCAUUUAUGGAGCACAUGCUAUAGGUCAAGUUCUCUGUUAGAUCCUGGGAAUAUAGUGGUGAAAAAGAUAGAUGUAACCAUCAAUCAACUGGAUCUAAUUGACAUUUAUAGAACACUUCAUCUGACAGCAGCAAAAUACACAUUCUUCUCUGAUUCACAUAGAACAUUUGCUAAGAUACACCACAUUCUGGACCAUAAAACACACCCUGACACAUUUAAAAGAAUAUAUAUCAUAUAAAGUGUGCUCUCAGACCAAUGGAAUUAAACUAGAAAUCAAUAACAGAAAGAUAGCUGGAAAAUACCCAAAUAUUUGAAGAUUAAUCAGCAGACUUCUAAAUAACUUCUGUGUCAAAGAUGAUGUUUCAAGAAAUUAAAAAGUAUUUUGAACUAAAUGAAAAUGAAAAUACAGCCUAUCAAAAUUUGUAGGGUGCAGAGAAAGCAGUGCUUAGAAAGAGAGAGACACAGUCCUGGCCUCAUGGAACUUACUGACCAAUGACCAAGUAAAUAGAAACAUUUUUAAUUAAUUAAUUAAUUUAUUUAUUUUUGAGACAGGGUCUUGUUCUGUAACCCAGGCUGGAGUGCAGUGGCGUGAUGAUCGCAGCCCACUGCAGCCUCCACUUCCCAGGCUCAAUCGAUCGUCCCACCUCAGCCUCCCAAGUAGCUGGACUACAGAUGCAUGCCACCAUGCCCAGCUAAUUUUUGGUAGAAAUAGGGUUUUGCCAUGUUGCCCAGGCUGGUCUCGAACUCCAGGGCUGAAGUGAUCCUCCUGCCUUGGCCUCCCAAAGUGCUGGGAUUACAGUUGUGGGCCACUGUGCCUGGCCAAAAACAUUUUUUUAAUGGAAUAAAAAUAAUUAUGAUUACAGUGGUGUUAGAGAAGUAAGGGGAUGUGACUACUUUUUGAUAAGAUGGUCAGGGAAGGUGACAUUUAAGUUGAAGUCCAAUUGUUGGCAGAUGGGAAAGUUUUCCAGGCUGAGAGAAUAGCAUGUGUGAGGCAGAAAACUGCUUAGCAUGCUUAUGGAAAUGAAAGAAGGUCAGUAUGAUAGAAACUUAGCAAAGAGAAAAGAGAUAGGAGAUGGUUUGGAAGGAUGGACAGGGAUUAGAACACAUAGGGAUGUAUAGACCUCAGGAAGUGUCAAGGGAAGUCAUUGAGGGGUCCUAAGCAGGAGGAUAGGAUCCAAUUCAUAGGUGGACACAAGAUUCCUGGGCCAGCAGAAGAGACCUUUGAAUGCUGGAUUAGACAUCACCAAGAACUGUAGCAGAGGCAAGAACCUGAGCUCCCAACCCAGGCUGCCAGUGGAUUGCCAGAGGAAUGUGUUUUCUGAGGUAAUUUGUUUUCUCAAGGGGAUGAACAUUUGAACAUCAGGCAUUGGGUGUGAAUACAGGAGUCCACCCUUAUCUACAUUUCCAUGGUUUCAGUUACCCAAAGUCAAUCUCUGUCCAAAAAUAUUAUGUGGAAAAUUCCAGAAACAAACAAUUUACAAGGUUUCAAUUAUGCAUCAUUCUGAGUAGUGUGAUAAAAUCUUGUGCCUCUCUGCUCUGACUUGUCUGGGAUAGGAAUCAUCACGUUGCCCAGCAUAUCCCCACUGUGUACACUACCGGCUCAUUAGUCACUUAGUAACCUUUGUGGUUAUCAGAUCCACUGUCAAGGCAUGGUCAUGCUUGUGCUGAGCAACCCUUAUUUUACUUAAUAACAGCCUCAAAGCACAAGAAUAGUGAUGCUGGCAAUUUGAAUAUGCCAAUGAGAAGCAGUAAAGUACUUCUUUUAAGUGAAAAUGUGAAAGUUCUUGACUUAAUAAGGAGGGAAAAAAUUGUAUGUUGAGGUUGCUAAGAUCUAUGGUAGAAACAAAUCUUCUAUCCAUAAAACUGUGAAGAAGGAAAAAGAAAUUCAUGCAUAGUGUACUUAGGGUUCAGUACUAUCUGCAGUUUUAGGCAACCAUUGGGGGUCUUGGAAUUUCUCACCAGCCUAGUAGGGUAGGAGCUUGGGAUAGAAUUUGUUGAUUUAAAUAAAAUAAGAAAAUGUGUAUUUCUUGCACACUUGAGUGAAGGAUGAAGAUUUUUGCCCAUUUUAAGAAAACAACUUUGCCUGCUGUGUGGAAUGGAUUCUAAGGAGGCAAGUGCAAAAAUGAGGUGAAUUUGGAGGCUACUGUAGUAUCUAUGCAAGAAAUACUGUGGACUCGAAUGAGGAGGAUGGCGGUGGAAAUGGUGAAAAGUAGAAAGAUGGGAAAUGCCAUCAAAUAUUUUUGGUACCUGUGAUAGACAGGCUACCAAUGUGUUUCCAUCACCCAUGCCUCCUGGUGUUGUCUUCAUGUGAUCCCCUCCUCUUGACUGCAGGUGGCAUCUGCCACUUAUUUCCUCCAAAUGGAAUAUGACAAAGGUGACAGGAUGUGUAUGAUUAUAUGACUGUAUUUCAUAAGAUUGUAAGGCUCACCCUAAUGGAGUCUCUGUCUCCCUUGCUUCCUUGAGGAAGCAGGCAGCCACGCUGGGGGAUCCCACAUGGUAAAGAACUGCAGGUGGCCUCUAGGAGAUGAGGGCGGCCUCCAGUCAACAGCCAGCAAGAAACUGAAGUGCUCUGUCCUACAACCUUGUGUAACUGAAUUCUGCCAACAACCUGAGUGAGACUGAAAGUGGAUCCCUCUCCAGUCAUGCCUCAGUGUGAGAGAAACCUGUGACUUGCUUCUAACCCAUAGGAUAUGGCAAGGAACUAGUCAUAUCUGAGAGCAGCCUCCAGAAAACAGUCAGCAAAACACUGAGGUUCUCAAUCCGAUAGUCAAUGAGGAACGGAAUGCUGGAACAAUGAUGUGAGCUUGGAAGCAGAUCCUUCCCUUCUGCUGGGCCUCAGGUGAGACUGCAGCUCCAGUCAUCAUCUUGAUUGCAGCCCACAGAAACUACCAACCCACAGAAACUGUGAGUUAAUAAAUGUGUUGUUUUAAGUUG
rnacentral:lncRNA from 1 species